rnacentral:rRNA from 1 species
CCUACGGGUGGCAGCAGUGAGGAAUAUUGGUCAAUGGGCGCGAGCCUGAACCAGCCAAGUAGCGUGAAGGAUGACUGCCCUACGGGUUGUAAACUUCUUUUAUAAAGGAAUAAAGUGAGGCACGUGUGCCUUUUUGUAUGUAUUUUAUGAAUAAGGAUCGGCUAACUCCGUGCGAGCAGCCGCGGUAAUACGGAGGAUCCGAGCGUUAUCCGGAUUUAGUGGGUUGAAAGGGCGCGUGUAGUGGUUGUUAAGUCAGUUGGCAAAGUUUGCGGCUCAACCGUAAGAUUGAAAUUGAUACUGGCAGCCUUGAGGACAGUUGAGGUAGGCGGAAUUCGUGGUGUAGCGGUGAAAUGCUUAGAUAUCACGAAGAACUCCGAUUGCGAAGGCAGCCUACUAAACUGCCACUGACAUUGAUGCUCGAAAGUGUGGGUAUCAAACAGGAUUAGAUACCCGUGUAGUC